ACUCGAAUAGCUUAUUAAUUUAGAGCGCGACACUGAAGAUGUCGAUGAGGCAUUCAUUGCCUUUGAGUA
rnacentral:tRNA from 2 species